GGAAGGUUCUUAGGUCGGUAGGUCCUCAGGACGGAAAGACCUCAGGACGGAAGGUUCUUAGGUCGGUAGGUCCUCAGGACGGAAAGACCUCAGGACGGAAGGUUCUUAGGUCGGUAGGUCCUCAGGACGGAAAGACCUCAGGUCGGAAGGUCCGCAAGACGGAAAGACCUCAAGUCGGAAGGUCUUCAGGUCGGGAGGUCCGCAAGACGGAAAGACCUCAAGUCGGAAGGUCUUCAGGUCGGGAGGUCCGCAAGACGGAAAGACGAUGAGUCGGAAGGUUUUCAAGUCGGGAGGUCCUCGAGACGGAAAGUCGUCGAGAUGGGAUAUCCGCAGGUCGGGUAAACUGUAGGUCGGAUAGAAGGAGGAGUCGGACAAACGCGGAGGCCUUUGAUCAAAGACAGGGGGCGGUUGAUAUGGAGGUCGGCCCAAGUGGGGUCGGGCGAAGAAGUAGGUCGGACGAAGGACGAAGUCGGGCCAAAAGAGCGGAAGGUCUGUGGUCGGCUCAAGGAGUGAAAUAUAGGGAAUUUUGGUCUGCUGGGGACACGUGUCAGCAUGAGAAAGGUUGGAAGACGGUUGAGAAGGAGACGUUGUAACCGUUCGGGUGACGGUUUUCAGUACGGUUUCCCAGGGAAUAUUUAAGGAUUUGGAUCAUCAUUUG